ACAGAGGAGGCAAGCGUUGUUCGGAAUCACUGGGCUUAAAGCGCGUGUAGGCGGCUCGGUAAGUGUCGUGUGAAAGCCCCCGGCUCAACCGGGGAACGGCACGGCAAACUGCCAGGCUUGAGGUCGGUAGAGGUGCCUGGAACUCUAGGUGGAGCGGUGAAAUGCGUAGAUAUCUAGAGGAACGCCAGAGGCGAAAGCGGGGCACUGGGCCGAUUCUGACGCUGAGACGCGAAAGCGUGGGGAGCAAACAG
rnacentral:rRNA from 1 species